GACGAACGCUGGCGGCGUGCCUAAUACAUGCAAGUCGAGCGAUGAUUAAAGAUAGCUUGCUAUUUUUAUGAAGAGCGGCGAACGGGUGAGUAACGCGUUUGGGAAAUCUGCCGAGUAGCGGGGGACAACGUUUGGAAACGAACGCUAAUACCGCAUAACAAUGAGAAUCGCAUGAUUCUUAUUUAAAAGAAGCAAUUGCUUCACUACUUGAUGAUCCCGCGUUGUAUUAGCUAGUUGGUAGUGUAAAGGACUACCAAGGCGAUGAUACAUAGCCGACCUGAGAGGGUGAUCGGCCACACUGGGACUGAGACACGGCCCAGACUCCUACGGGAGGCAGCAGUAGGGAAUCUUCGGCAAUGGGGGCAACCCUGACCGAGCAACGCCGCGUGAGUGAAGAAGGUUUUCGGAUCGUAAAACUCUGUUGUUAGAGAAGAACGCUAAGUAGAGUGGG
rnacentral:rRNA from 1 species